AUGUCCGUAAUCGACCGUUUCAGGGCCAACAUGAACUGGCAGAGAAUGCAGAUAAAGGCAUCGUCUCUUGUCUGCUCGCUGGCUCAUCGCGUUCCAGAGCUGCGAGGCUGCCUCUCGCUGCCGACCACCGGCUUCAACCCGCCCCAUGUACUUCCCAUUGCUUCCGGUUUGAGGAGUCAUAGGCGUUAUGUGAAGCAGAAAAAUACAGGAUCAGAAAAACAAAAAGCUGUCAUCAGGGCCUUGAAGAGGCAGUGUCGACGUCAUAUGAGUUCAAAUAUUGAGUCGGUUGACGAAGCAAAGGAAUUGCUGGCGGAUCUCCUUGAUGCAACUGUACGAUCUGGCUUUCGAACGGUAUCAUCUGUUCCGAGCCAUCCACUUGAAAAUGAAGGCGCUCAAUUCCUCCAGCCCAUCCCAGGUACCUUCACAGAAGCUAAAACUUCUGGGCCAUCGACAAAUGCAGGCACGAGUAAGCAUGAGGGCGAAGCAGGUUGUCACACCAUCACUGCUCGUCAGGAGGAUUCAGAUGGGAGAAAGAAUUCAAGGGAUGAACUUGCAACGGCUGAGCAAGACCGUGAUUCGAAACGACAACGGUCAAAUGGGGCACCUCGUGAAGCAACUCUGGUCAUGCCAGGGUAUUGUGCUGUGGAGAAUUUGAGCGCCAAGCCGAGUGGUGGAGAGACGGCCGCUCCAUGA
rnacentral:rRNA from 1 species